AAUGGAUAACCGCUGAAAGCAUCUAAGCGGGAAGCCAACCUCAAGAUAAGAUAUCCCCUUUGUAUGGAAACAUACAAGGCUAAAGACUCCUUGAAGACUACAAGGUUGAUAGGCCAGGAGUGUAAGCAUAGUGAUAUGUUCAGCUUACUGGUACUAAUAGUUCGUGAGGCUUGGCCAU
rnacentral:rRNA from 1 species